rnacentral:rRNA from 1 species
ACCUGAUUCCAUCCCGAACUCAGAAGUGAAAAGCUGUAACGUCGAUGGUAGUGUGGGGAUUCCCCAUGUGAGAGUAGAGCAUCGUCGGGG